UGGCACUCCAGAUGUUUUGGACUACACUUCCCAUGAUGCUUUGCCAGCAUUAUGGGGGAUGUAGACACAACAUCUGGAGUGCCG